rnacentral:lncRNA from 1 species
CCAGGCUCCGCCUCUGGGCCACCCUGGGGGGCUUGGGGAGGGCCGGCAGGUCCCUGGCUGGAGCGGCUCCCUCCUGGACCCGGAGCCUGCCGCACCCUCCUGAGGUCCCAGGAACUUCCCAGGGAGACAGGGAUGGGGGCAGUGCCAAUCGGACCUCUGGGCCGCGAGAGAGGCCCAACCAGCGGCAAGAAGAAAAUGGCUGAGCGCAGCCUCUCACAAAGCAGAUGGGGAACUGGCCGCCGGCUGGGUCUAACCCAACUGCCAGAAAGACCGCCGGCCAGGAGCAGCCGGUAUCAUCUUCUGAGGUCCAUUCUACAUUACCUUUGGCCCAUCUCCCACUGUGGAACUCAGCCCUGUCCCUUUGUUCCAUGAGCUUCAGGGGCUGCAGCAGGUGCAGGCAUCGUAACGAUUUAGGAGAAGUACAUCAAACAUCCUCACACCCCCAGAAGCCAGUCAGAUAGAUGUCUCCGAAGUGCAAGCAAAGUGUCUCCCUCAGAUGGGAGCUGAAGAAAAAUAUCUAAUAAU